rnacentral:lncRNA from 1 species
CCUUUGUCUCAGGGAUCUGCUUUUCCUGCUCUCCCAUGCCAUUACCAGCUGCCUCCUAACGCUCCCUAUGGUGGAAAGAGAAAUGGCUACCUCUGGGGGGUCGACGGGCUCACAUCUGGAGUAGGUUCCCUCCAGCCAAAAUAUUUAAAUCCUGAAUAAAGGCUUUCUUUUGGCCUGGAAGAAGGAAGAGAAUUUCUCUGAGGAUUUUCAGAGGGCCCCUGAGACUUCUCAAAGAGAUUUGCUCUCUCUUCCUAUAAGGAGGAAGACACUAAGAGAAAUUCAUGGAAAGGACUUUGACACUCUAGAAUACAGGUUUCCGACAAACUUUCAGAUUGUAAAACUGAAGUGGGUAAGAAAUUACAGAACUCUAAUAGAGAAACUGAUGACUUCAUGAAACUGCUGACAGAAGAUUAAGGUCAAGAAUCGAUUACACAGGACUGUGGAACCUAUGAAGAUGAUUAUAAUUUUUAUGAUUUUUGUUUGAAAUGUUGAUUUUUUAAAUGUUUUCUUUUGUCUUCUCAGAUUUAAGGAAAUCUUUUUCUGUUUUCUCUUAUGCUAACUAUGACUUAUAGCAACUUGGUGAAAUUAUACCUUUAUGAGCAGAAUUGAAACAUUUAUCUUUUUCUCCCUACCUGAUCCCUCCAGAAUUUGGAAACUCUUAGUGAGUGAGAGAGUAUGGUUAUUUUCACGGCAGCAUAGCUAUUUGUAUAAGUUCAAUAAGAAUCUUCUCUCCCUAUAACUGGACACAUUUGGAAACAUCUGUCAUUUAACCAAGUCUUUGACUGGAAUGUCAUAUUUGAGAGAAAUAUACAGACUCAGAUAUGACAAGACAGUUUUUGAGGAAUAAAGGUUAACUUCCUGAAAUAAAGCCACUUGGAAAUAUUGGCCUGGUACCUUGUUUACAAGGAUUCCAGCAGCCCGGGUAAGUAAGGAAGGUCACUUAUCCGGCAGGUGCUUGGACCUUGAAAUACUUUUGGGGAACUUCAUGAGAUGAGAUGAAUUCACCCAAAUCUAAAGUAUUGCAGGUGAAGCCUGAUGACAAAUCCUUGGCUUAGCUUUGCUGGCCUUGAGAGGCCUUUAAAAUACAACCUGAGAUUUCUUGUAAAAAGUUGCAGCAAAGCAGAUUUUAAAGAGCCUAUAUGAUCAAUGGUUAUUCUUGCUGUACUUAUGUAAAUAAUUUAAUUAAAUUUUAUUAAUGCUAGCCUUGUUUUGCAAACCAAUGAGUCUUAGUUGGCUAUCUUUGGUAAAAAUGAGGGUGAUUUUAGAGAAAAAAGUUAUGUUUCAGUAGAAACUAUGGUAGGCAUUCAUGGAUAUUAGAUUCUAGUUCUGUUAUUUGCCUUUGAAGCUUUUGUUUGUAUCUGUUUACUGGACUGGGUCCUAAAUUCUUCUAGUCUCUUGAAAUAUCUGGCUACAAAUCUCUGAACUAAUGAUUUUAAUUUUUUCCCAUCAUUUUCACUUGGAAUCAUUGACAACUGAAGCUGCCCUUUUUCCUGAAGCCUUGCAAGCUGAAACUCGAGGACUUGAUAUAAACUUCAGAGAUAUUCAUAGCUGUUGCUAUGUAAGCUCCUCAGAAAGAUACCUGAACACCUGAUGGCAUCAUCAGGGAUAUUUCAAACUGCAAAAGAUGCUUUGACCCUGACAUCUAGAAGUUUUCUUGACUGGCUGACCCUGGGCUCAGAAACUGGUUUAUAAUUUGCUCCCACCAUUAACCUUGUUUUUCUUUUUGUCUCUGUAGAAAUGCUUCUUAUUAAAUAUCUGGUUACCUGCUUACCCAAUAUAGGCCUAACUAUGGGAGCCCACCUGCAUCACCGUCUUACUAAGAGACUGGUUCCAUGAGAUGGAACAACCUAUGACCCUCAUCAACAGGGUGUCCCUCAAGAUUGAGGGAUGAAAAACAAAAAGGAGGAAUUGAAACCAGCUCAACACAAGGUUGACAUAAGGGAAGCCAUAUUGUAGAAAAGAAACCAUGUUGUAACUUUGAAUGACCUCUGACUAACUAACCCAGCUGGAUUUGCACCCUCCAGGAGAUCCACCUGUUCUGUAUAUUUUUUUAAAGAUUUUAUUUUUCCUUUUUCUCCCCAAAGCUCCCUGGUACAUAGUUGUGGAUCCUUCCAGUUGUGGCAUGUGGGAUGCCACCUCAGCAUGGCCCAAUGAACAGUGCCAUGCCUGCACCCAGGACCUGAACUGGCAAAACCCUGGGCUGCCAAAGCAGAGUGCACAAACCCAACCACUUGGCCAUGGGGCCAGUGCCUGUUCUGUAGAUUUUGUGACCGCUGCCUGUGCAUAUACCUUCCAGCUGUGAUAAGACAAUAACUUCAUUCUUUUGAGUUCCUUAGGAAUGUGAUGAUCCCCAAAGAGAGAGUUUCUGCUGAUAGCCAUCAUCAAUGAAAACUGAAAGACCUGGUGUGGCCACUCCCAGUCUGUAACACCAGAGGGUCAACAUUCCUAAGCCCCUACCCUAUAACCCAUUGGCCCAUAUAACUGCUUCAGGAUUCUGUGCCCUGCUUAAGAUGGUUUUUUUGGACAUUAGUCAGCCAUCUUCCCUCUUGCUAGCAAACUGUAAUAAAAUACUCUUUCUCUGCCACCAGCUUGCCUCUUGACCUUUGGCUUUUGUCUCACAGCGAGCAGAUUGUGCCCUUUGUGCAGUGACAUUAGGUGCUCAGUGCCCUGACAUCACUGAGGUUUGUCUCAUGUCUAUGAGACAUGACUAUGUCUCUGUCUAUGGGGCCUCUCCCGGGCAGCAAGUCAAGCGCUGGCUCCUUCCAUUUCUAGAUGCUGCCAUCUUGAAACAGGGCCUUCACAGUGAACAUGGAAGGGAAAGAGAGAGGGUGGAAGGUUGAAUGGGGGCUUGUGCUCAGGCGUGGGGGGGCAGGCAUGACUCCUGUGCAUAUCCCAUGGUCCAGAACCAGUCCUGUGGUCCCAAUUCAUGGCCAGAGAGCCAGGGAAAUGUCAUCUUCCCAUGUGCCCAGGAGGAGAAGAUGGGAUGAGGGGGCAUGUGGUCUGAUUCUGCCACACUCGCCCUCUGAAAACCACAGUUUCCUUGUCUGUAAAAUGGGAUUUGCAUGGGACUUGGAUUACUGAGUCCCAGCUCUGAGUUAGGGGAGCUGCUUCAUGAAAAUCUGGU